rnacentral:rRNA from 1 species
UACGUAGGAGGCAAGCGUUGUCCGGAAUCAUUGGGCGUAAAGAGCGUGUAGGCGGCCCGAUAAGUCCGCUGUGAAAGUCCAGGGCUCAACCCUGGAAUGCCAGUGGAAACUGUCGGGCUGGAGUCCGGAAGAGGCGAGUGGAAUUCCUGGUGUAGCGGUGAAAUGCGCAGAUAUCAGGAGGAACACCAAUGGCGAAGGCAGCUCGCUGGGACGGUACUGACGCUGAGACGCGAAAGCGUGGGGAGCAAACAGG